GACGAACGCUGGCGGCGUGCUUAACACAUGCAAGUCGAACGGUGAAGCCUUCGGGUGGAUCAGUGGCGAACGGGUGAGUAACACGUGAGCAAUCUGCCCUUGACUCUGGGAUAACUUCGGGAAACCGGAGCUAAUACCGGAUAUGACAUCUGGCCGCAUGGUCUGGGGUGUGGAAAGUAUUUAUCGGUCAAGGAUGAGCUCGCGGCCUAUCAGCUUGUGGUGGGGAAUGGCCCACCAAGGCGACGACGGGUAGCCGGCCUGAGAGGGCGACCGGCCACACUGGGACUGAGACACGGCCCAGACUCCUACGGGAGGCAGCAGUGGGGAAUAUUGCGCAAGUGGGCGGAAGCCUGACGCAGCGACGCCGCGUGAGGGAUGAAGGCC
rnacentral:rRNA from 1 species